rnacentral:rRNA from 1 species
CAUGGCUCAGGAUGAACGCUGGCGGCGUGCCUAAUACAUGCAAGUCGAACGAACUUCCGUUAAUUGAUUAUGACGUACUUGUACUGAUUGAGAUUUUAACACGAAGUGAGUGGCGAACGGGUGAGUAACACGUGGGUAACCUGCCCAGAAGUAGGGGAUAACACCUGGAAACAGAUGCUAAUACCGUAUAACAGAGAAAACCGCAUGGUUUUCUUUUAAAAGAUGGCUCUGCUAUCACUUCUGGAUGGACCCGCGGCGUAUUAGCUAGUUGGUGAGGUAAAGGCUCACCAAGGCAGUGAUACGUAGCCGACCUGAGAGGGUAAUCGGCCACAUUGGGACUGAGACACGGCCCAGACUCCUACGGGAGGCAGCAGUAGGGAAUCUUCCACAAUGGACGCAAGUCUGAUGGAGCAACGCCGCGUGAGUGAAGAAGGGUUUCGGCUCGUAAAGCUCUGUUGUUAAAGAAGAACGUGGGUAAGAGUAACUGUUUACCCAGUGACGGUAUUUAACCAGAAAGCCACGGCUAACUACGUGCCAGCAGCCGCGGUAAUACGUAGGUGGCAAGCGUUAUCCGGAUUUAUUGGGCGUAAAGCGAGCGCAGGCGGUCUUUUAAGUCUAAUGUGAAAGCCUUCGGCUCAACCGAAGAAGUGCAUUGGAAACUGGGAGACUUGAGUGCAGAAGAGGACAGUGGAACUCCAUGUGUAGCGGUGAAAUGCGUAGAUAUAUGGAAGAACACCAGUGGCGAAGGCGGCUGUCUGGUCUGCAACUGACGCUGAGGCUCGAAAGCAUGGGUAGCGAACAGGAUUAGAUACCCUGGUAGUCCAUGCCGUAAACGAUGAUWASKAAGUGUUGGAGGGUUUCCGCCCUUCAGUGCUGCAGCUAACGCAUUAA